UGAGGCUUUCAACAGCGGGGCGCCAGGGACAAACAAGCCGCGGCAAGCGCAAACAGCCUGCUCAAACAGGGACGGCCAGGGUGUUGUUUGACCAGCACUGGAAUUGGAAACUAGGUUUCGAAGAAGUCAAAUCGAAGUACAAUAUUGUAUUUUAAACUGCCUGUUGUUAUUACAUCCCUCACAACGCACGCUCUACUUGAAACUUCCAGUGGAUACCAACUGCACUUAGAAUAAAAAAUGAAACUCCUUGCCUAACUCUGGGACCUCAUCAGCACAUACUCACCAUAUUUUGGUAACAAAGGCCUUCAUGCUGUUCCCGGAAGUCGCCAAGUUCCAUCCAUCAUUGUUAAUAAUUCCUUUUGCUCGCUCCUCGCACAAGAACUGUUUCUUCUGCUUAGUGCUUUGCCUACUGAUUCCAUCUUGUCAUUUAAGUCUCGGCUCAAAUGUCACCUCUGCAAAGAACCCUUGUCUGACCAUACAUCUAAAAUAGCCACAAACACUCUAUAAAGACUUGGCCUUGCUUUAUUUCCUUCUCAGCACUCAUCACUGUCUGAAACAAUGUUUUGGAUUUGUUGCUUAUUAUCAGUCUCCCUUCUCAAGAAUGCAAGCUUUGUGAGGGCAGAGUCGUAAUCUUUUUUAAGGCUGUAUCCCCAAUGCCUGGGUGCUGCUUUACAGCCGACAAAUAUUUAUCAAA
rnacentral:lncRNA from 10 species